GUCAGGGACCUCCCUGAAUCUGCCCAAAUAAAUGGUCUGUAGUGAUAGCAUUCAACCAGGGAGCAAGAAGAAGAGUGGAAGUCUACUAGGACUGUUAGUAGAUGGGAAAUCUUUUUAGAAGCUCAUUAUUGUAAACUUGAAAUACAUGGGGCACAUCCUUUCCAAGUCUUUCCCCGCUCCAGGCAAAAGAGUAGCAAGUUUGCCGCAAAGGUGUUUAAUGUGUCGUUCAUAUCAUCUUCUGGGGAGAGACGCCAUCAGUAGCUCAACCUCCAUAUCCACAGGCUUGGCAUUGGCUCUGAACUCAUCUCCCAGGCUUCCUCUUCAUCAAGAGAAAGAAGAAGGCAUCUCCAAAACAGAUAAAUGUGUUGGGGAUUGAAUCAGGGAGGAAUGCCAACGGAAAAGUUGACUGAAUGUUAAAAAACAUUGCUAUUUCCUGAAGUUUCUGUUGAGUUAAUUGUAACUCAGCCCUUACACUGACAAAACUAAUAGUGAAAUUGAUUUGUUUAAAAACACAUCUGCCUGGAUACAGCAUUUCUGUUAUUUUCCCUGACGUUCUGCUCUUAUCUCAGUAAAAUCCAUGUAUUGCAGUACAGUGGCAGUAUUGCAGUCUUGUUCAAAUAAAUGUAAUAUCAUUUCUCUCUGAAGCA
rnacentral:lncRNA from 1 species